AAGACCCCUAGACCCUCUUAGUAUAAAUACCUCGAACGGAAACCGAGGAAAGAACAAAGAUUCGCAGCCAAGAAAUGAUGCUGUAUAAAAUAAAGAUUCUUCAUCUCCUCGCGAUGUUGCUUAUCGUCAGUCACCAAGUCAUUCUGAUGGAUCCUCGAUAGGACACGAGACAGCUCUUGUGGAAAAAUCAAGGCAGUGUACGAGCAUUGGGCUAAUUUUACUCUUCACUGAGGACCUGAUUGUCACUACAGUACACAUGGAUCGAGUUUCUCAUCCUGAUGAGAAAUAGAUGUAUAUGUUUGCCAUCUUUUACCAAGCAGAGUGGCAAAGAGGUAAAUAAAACAAUUUCCUCUUAACA